rnacentral:rRNA from 1 species
UGCAUAUACAUGCAGUCGAACGAACUCUGGUAUUGAUUGGUGCUUGCAUCAUGAUUUACAUUUGAGUGAGUGGCGAACUGGUGAGUAACACGUGGGAAACCUGCCCAGAAGCGGGGGAUAACACCUGGAAACAGAUGCUAAUACCGCAUAACAACUUGGACCGCAUGGUCCGAGUUUGAAAGAUGGCUUCGGCUAUCACUUUUGGAUGGUCCCGCGGCGUAUUAGCUAGAUGGUGGGGUAACGGCUCACCAUGGCAAUGAUACGUAGCCGACCUGAGAGGGUAAUCGGCCACAUUGGGACUGAGACACGGCCCAAACUCCUACGGGAGGCAGCAGUAGGGAAUCUUCCACAAUGGACGAAAGUCUGAUGGAGCAACGCCGCGUGAGUGAAGAAGGGUUUCGGCUCGUAAAACUCUGUUGUUAAAGAAGAACAUAUCUGAGAGUAACUGUUCAGGUAUUGACGGUAUUUAACCAGAAAGCCACGGCUAACUACGUGCCAGCAGCCGCGGUAAUACGUAGGUGGCAAGCGUUGUCCGGAUUUAUUGGGCGUAAAGCGAGCGCAGGCGGUUUUUUAAGUCUGAUGUGAAAGCCUUCGGCUCAACCGAAGAAGUGCAUCGGAAACUGGGAAACUUGAGUGCAGAAGAGGACAGUGGAACUCCAUGUGUAGCGGUGAAAUGCGUAGAUAUAUGGAAGAACACCAGUGGCGAAGGCGGCUGUCUGGUCUGUAACUGACGCUGAGGCUCGAAAGUAUGGGUAGCAAACAGGAUUAGAUACCCUGGUAGUCCAUACCGUAAACGAUGAAUGCUAAGUGUUGGAGGGUUUCCGCCCUUCAGUGCUGCAGCUAACGCAUUAAGCAUUCCGCCUGGGGAGUACGGCCGCAAGGCUGAAACUCAAAGGAAUUGACGGGGGCCCGCACAAGCGGUGGAGCAUGUGGUUUAAUUCGAAGCUACGCGAAGAACCUUACCAGGUCUUGACAUACUAUGCAGAUCUAAGAGAUUAGACGUUCCCUUCGGGGACAUGGAUACAGGUGGUGCAUGGUUGUCGUCAGCUCGUGUCGUGAGAUGUUGGGUUAAGUCCCGCAACGAGCGCAACCCUUAUUAUCAGUUGCCAGCAUUAAGUUGGGCACUCUGGUGAGACUGCCGGUGAC